rnacentral:rRNA from 1 species
GGACGAACGCUGGCGGCGUGCUUAACACAUGCAAGUCGAGCGGUAAGGCCCUUUCGGGGGUACACGAGCGGCGAACGGGUGAGUAACACGUGGGUGACCUGCCCUCAGCUCUGGGAUAAGCCUGGGAAACCGGGUCUAAUACCGGAUAUGACUCCAUGACGCAUGUUGUGGGGUGGAAAGCCUUGUGCGGCUGAGGAUGGGCCCGCGGCCUAUCAGCUUGUUGGUGGGGUGAUGGCCUACCAAGGCGACGACGGGUAGCCAGCCUGAGAGGGCGACCGGCCACACUGGGACUGAGACACGGCCCAGACUCCUACGGGAGGCAGCAGUGGGGAAUCUUGCGC